rnacentral:lncRNA from 1 species
GCAACGCGCUAGGGUCACUUUUGAGAUCAAGAAAGCUUUGUUCUUUUGCUGUUUAUAAUAAAACCUGUUGCUGCUCGCUCUUUUGGGUUCUGACUGCGUUUAUGAGCUGUAACACUUACCACAAAGGUGUGUAGGUUCACUCCUGAAGCCUGUGAGACCACGAAUCCACCGGGAGGAACGAACAACUCCAGAUGUGGUGCCUUAAGAGCUAUAACACUCACUGUGAAGGUCUGCAGCUUUGCUCCUGAGCUAGCUAGACCACGAACCCACCAGCAGGAAAAAACUCCGAACACAUUUGAGCAUCAGAAGGAACAAACUCUGGACACGCCGCCUUUAAGAACUGUGAUAUUCACUGCGACAGUCCGCGGCUUCAUUCUUGAAGUCAGACCAAGAACCCACCAAUUCCGGACAUAGGAAUACUAGCAGGGACUUUCUGGACAUUCGGCUCGGAGUUGGUUAGUUGUUCAGGAUGGUUCAAAGGUGUAAACUGUGAUCCUCUUCCUUGAGUGAGAUGGAAAAAAAUUAAUUUGCCGCAUCAGUGUCCAUAUCUCAGAGGCUGAAAGCUCCAUGGUUUUUUGGUCCCUGCAGCAACUAGAACAGUACCUGGCAGACACAAGACACGUAAUACAUAUUUUUGAAUGAGGAACUUGGCUCCAGAAGCCAUGAGAAUAACUUUGUUCCAACACAUUCAGGCUGCGGUCAGAAAGGGUGAGCUGGAAGCAGUGAGCUGGGAGAUAAUGAAACCAAAACACCAUUAUCAGGAAGCUUGAGAACAAGGCCACCUUUUAAGUAUCUAGAAAUUCCCAUUAAUUUCUUCCACACCUUGUUCCCCAUCCCACCUGAAGACUGAAGCUGAGAGGCUUUUUUCCCAGUCAUCUUGACCACAAGAUCAGUUCUCUCCGUGAACAUAAAGACAAAAUCGCUGUGACACCAACAGACAGAUUUUUUAACAAGUGGAAUCCAUGUCUCAUGUAAACAAUGUGCUACUGCCUGCCAUUGAGUUCUCUUCCCUCGUUUUCCUUUUUGAAGACUUAACCCCUUUCCCAAAGGGACAUGUGCUCAGGUUUCUUGACUCCACAGCAAUCCCUUCUGUUGUGUAAGGCAAACUGAUCACCUUUCACAACGAGACAAGAAGUGAUUUAAAUCAGAUGGUGACCCAAUGACAAUGUCUGUGCUGUGUCCUAUGGAGAAAACCAAAGCUGAAAUCCAGUAACAGGUGAUAGGAAGAUGUGGAGAUAGAAACUGACCUGAAUUCUGAAAAACAACAAGAGAAAAGGAAGUCUGAGAACAAGCUGGUGUUCUUCCAAAACCUGUUCAUUGUGUGAAUUCCUAGAAGAUAGCGUGACACCGAGAAACAGGCUGGAGUGACACACCCAAACAAUUAUGCUACCUGGAUCUGCCAAGGCAGGAGGACAAACUCAGCAGCCUGGAGAAUGGAGGACACAGUCCAGAGUUGCAACAACAGCAGCAAUUACUUUUGACCACUCACUAUCGGAAAACACUGCUUUAGGCUGUGGAAAUGCAGUAGUAGAAAAGCCAGGCAUAAUCCUUAUCCCCAUGGAGGCACUAUCUCCAUCCAAGGGCAGAGGACCUGCAAGCCCUGAGGUCUCCAGCUGAGGUUCCUCUCUGAAGGACAGUUGCACUUCAGGUCAUGCUGCAGUAUGAGAGAAGGCAGCGUGACAUCUUGAGUUUCUAAUGCUCACACCUGUCUCAGUGAAGCAUUUUUACAGAGUAAUCACCACCCCCCUCACACCCCCAACAAUGUCAUCAAGUCAUAAAUCUCCUUGGUUUGAAAUAUUGGAUUAAAAUAUGAUUAAACAAUAUGUCUCAAUGGAAAGUUAAGAUAUGUGUGCAUUCUCUAUCCUCAAACAAUCCUGGAAUGCCCCCCCCCCCACUUUAUGAUUUUUUAUGAUUUGCCUAUCAGAAAUCUAUGCUAAAACUCUUAAAGAGUUUAGUUCUUAGAUUUGUAAGAGUAAGAGCAUGUAAGAAAUUAUUCUUUGACAGUUCUCAUUGCUAGCAACAAAGUUUUUAGGUUCCAAAGAGGUAUUUACUUAGAAACUAAAUAGUGUGAACCAUUAGCGCAGAAGAUGGUGCAGUAGAACAAAUGGGGAUGAGGUAUGAGGAGAGCCAAAUGCUAAUCCUGGUGUGUCACUGAUGUGACUUGGACACUGCCACCCCUCUGGACCUCUGCUUCCUCUUAGGGAAGAAGUGCUCUGUGGGGGUUCUCUGAGGUUACUCCUACAGUUCAUGUUCUAUGAGCCUGGAAAGAGCAAAAAUGUCUCAUAUAUACUACGUAAUGUUGUCUAAGUGGUACAUAGCAGAU